CGGUUGAUCACUACGCAAUAGCACACCUGAACCUUUGGUGGAACGCAACACCGGGCGUGCGUUCCACCGCUGUGUGCAGCCGCAUGGCCUGCAACAUAAUGAAGGUGUCCCCCGGCCUGCCCAUACUCAUCAAGCCAGAACACACUCAGCGGAGAGUUAAACAGAAGUGGCUCUGGAACCUCCAUGGACGGAGCCAUGUAACACAGCCUACCACCUG